rnacentral:tRNA from 1 species
GGCAGAAUGGCGGAGUGGUUAACGCGACAGCCUGCUAAGCUGUUUCCCUCGGGAGCGCGAGUUCGAAUCUCGUUUCUGUCG